AUAUCUGGAACUGUGGAAGCCAUCUUGUCACCAUGAAGUCACAUGUUCAAGGAUGAGAGGUCCACACACUGCAGAUGCCCAAACAGGGUGAGAAAAGCCUGGGCUUUUGACUGCAUUGUUAAGCUUCAGAACAAACCCUGGAACCAUCUACCUCCAGCCUCUCACCAAGAAAACAGUGAUCGUCAUUAUGGUUCAAACCACUGUCGGCCAGGUCUUCUGUAACGGCAGCCCAGUGCAUUGUUGGGUGAGCAGUGAAGACCAGCUGAGUACGUGGAUGUCAUUCAUUUACAUACACAUUUUACAAACCUUUAUUAAAGACGACCAUGGAAUUCGAAAGCACUGAGCUAAGGACUAUAAGGAGAAACAAAUUACUUUCUGCACGAACAUGUCCUGUCUGGAGCUUCCAAAGAGGAGGAGCAGGUGAGAAUUUUAAAAGGAAAAAUUUUCCCUUCUAGCGACACAUACCUUAGGAGAUACCAAAAUUAAAUGUAUUUUAUCAUAACUGAUUCGACCCAGCUGACGUGGACCCCAAACCAACCCCCUUUUGGACCCAACUAAAGAUUCUUUCCUGAACAACGAACAGUUGGAUCUGUUUGAACCCACCAGAUACAGACCUGUAGAUUGAUUUCCGAGGUGCUGUUUUUCAACCUUUAAUCGCCGUGAACCCCUCUUUCCAGGUGACACAACCUGACUUUCCUCCCUCAGCUAUUCAGCGAAUUUCUUCACUCACGUGUGUUUCCUUGCCAGGCAAGUCAAUAAACUUGGCUUUGUGGAUUUUA